rnacentral:rRNA from 1 species
GUGGGGAAUAUUGGACAAUGGGUGCAAGCCUGAUCCAGCCAUGCCGCGUGAGUGAUGAAGGCCCUAGGGUUGUAAAGCUCUUUCACCGGUGAAGAUAAUGACGGUAACCGGAGAAGAAGCCCCGGCUAACUUCGUGCCAGCAGCCGCGGUAAUACGAAGGGGGCUAGCGUUGUUCGGAAUUACUGGGCGUAAAGCGCACGUAGGCGGACAUUUAAGUCAGGGGUGAAAUCCCAGAGCUCAACUCUGGAACUGCCUUUGAUACUGGGUGUCUUGAGUAUGGAAGAGGUAAGUGGAAUUCCGAGUGUAGAGGUGAAAUUCGUAGAUAUUCGGAGGAACACCAGUGGCGAAGGCGGCUUACUGGUCCAUUACUGACGCUGAGGUGCGAAAGCGUGGGGAGCAAACAGGAUUAGAUACCCGUGUAGUCC